rnacentral:lncRNA from 13 species
CAAUGGGAAUGACACCCUCUGCCAUCAUUCCCUUCUCCUCCAGGUUUUCCAAAAUGUUUGCUUCUGCUUCAGCAGUUCCACCCUGGUUCCACUGAGACGGGAGUAUUACCUCUAAUUUAAGGCAGGAACGGUACAUGGCAUUUAUUCAACAGUGCACUCGUGUGGCAAACUCAGGAAGUACAUACAUAAAGUAUCCUUGAAUACAAUGUAUUUUUCUUAUUACAGAGGAAAACACAAAAAAGUCUUGUAGAUCGAUACAGUGAUGUUUCCCAGUACAAUCCUUUCUUUAAAUUUUUUUAACCUACUUUAAUUGCAUACCUGGGAAAAAAAUUCUCAUUUAUGUAUUUUGAUGAUACAAGUCAGAGCUCCCAAUAAAGGAUAUCAUCUUGUUUCAUCAUAUGGGGCCCCUUCUUCACUGAAAUUUAAUUUUAGAGUGUAAACUCGGUAUCUGAAUUUCUUUCAUUACCAUAAAAGUUAAAUUUUUGACAGGAGAUCUGAAUAUAGCUGAGAUGUUAUCUCUGAACAUCACAUUUUGUGGCUACUCAGCCUAUGAAUUGUAUGCAGAAUUAUAAAUACAAGUUCUUAUAUUCGCAAAGCAAGGCCCCAUAUUUAGCAAGAAGCAAAAACUUUUAUUAGGCUACCCGGUAUUGUUGCAGAAAGUAUAAAUGAACCAGGAAGUGAGUGUUGCAGACCAGACAUCCAAAAGGCACAAAACUUCUAAAAGAGCUGCCAGCCUAACCUAGUUUUAUUUAAUUUAUACUAGAAAUUCUCACUCUAACUUUAACAGUUGCUUUCUUCAAUUACGUUUUUCCUAUAGUUGAUUUAAUCUCCACACAUGUUGCUGGAAUUCCUCCAUCCCUCUGAUGAUGACCCUCCACCUUCAGCUUAGAGUGGGACUUAGACGAGAUGAACACUGUUCCUGAGAUCAGUUAUUGAAGAAAACACAACACAGCAUUCUCCCUGUUUUGCAACAGGACAUACUGGUCCUUCUGGUCCCAGUACAAGAAAGACAUCCAAACUCUGCAAAGUAUGACUUCAAAUGCCAUUUUUUAGAGUUAACACCAUAAGUAAGAGGUAACUGUUAUCCUAC